AUUGAACGCUGGCGGCAUGCCUUACACAUGCAAGUCGAACGGCAGCACGGGAGCAAUCCUGGUGGCGAGUGGCGAACGGGUGAGUAAAGUAUCGGAACGUACCUUUCAGUGGGGGAUAACGUAGCGAAAGUUACGCUAAUACCGCAUAUUCUGUGAGCAGGAAAGCAGGGGAUCGCAAGACCUUGCGCUGAUUGAGCGGCCGAUAUCAGAUUAGCUAGUUGGUGAGGUAAAGGCUCACCAAGGCGACGAUCUGUAGCGGGUCUGAGAGGAUGAUCCGCCACACUGGAACUGAGACACGGUCCAGACUCCUACGGGAGGCAGCAGUGGGGAAUUUUGGACAAUGGGCGCAAGCCUGAUCCAGCCAUGCCGCGUGAGUGAAGAAGGCCU
rnacentral:rRNA from 1 species